rnacentral:rRNA from 1 species
AUUGAACGCUGGCGGAAUGCUUUACACAUGCAAGUCGAACGGCAGCAUAGGUGCUUGCACCUGAUGGCGAGUGGCGAACGGGUGAGUAAUACAUCGGAACGUGCCCAGUCGUGGGGGAUAACGUAGCGAAAGUUACGCUAAUACCGCAUACGAUCUACGGAUGAAAGCGGGGGACCGUAAGGCCUCGCGCGAUUGGAGCGGCCGAUGUUAGAUUAGGUAGUUGGUGGGGUAAAGGCUCACCAAGCCGACGAUCUAUAGCUGGUCUGAGAGGAUGAUCAGCCACACUGGGACUGAGACACGGCCCAGACUCCUACGGGAGGCAGCAGUGGGGAAUUUUGGACAAUGGGCGCAAGCCUGAUCCAGCCAUUCCGCGUGCAGGACGAAGGCCUUCGGGUUGUAAACUGCUUUUGUACAGAACGAAAAGCCUUGGGUUAAUACCCUGGGGUCAUGACGGUACUGUAAGAAUAAGCACCGGCUAACUACGUACCG